GUUGAAAAACCAUGGGAUGAGCUGUGGAUAGCGGAGAAAUUCCAAUCGAACUCGGAGAUAGCUGGUUCUCCUCGAAAUAGCUUUAGGGCUAGCGUCGUGUAAUUGAGUAAUGGAGGUAGAGCACUGAAUGGGCUAGGGGCUAUAGUAGUUACCGAACCCUAUCAAACUCCGAAUGCCAUAUACUUGUAUCACGGCAGUCAGACUGCGAAUGAUAAGAUCCGUAGUCAAAAGGGAAACAGCCCAGACCAUCAGCUAAGGUCCCAAAGUGUAAGUUAAGUGGAAAAGGAUGUGGGAUUUCUAAGACAACUAGGAUGUUGGCUUAGAAGCAGCCACUCAUUUAAAGAGUGCGUAAUAGCUCACUAGUCAAGAGAUCCUGCGCCGAAGAUGUCCGGGGCUCAAACUUACCACCGAAGCUAUGGGUGUACACUAUGUGUACGCGGUAGAGGAGCUUUCUGUAUGGGUUGAAGUCGUACCGUAAGGAGCGGUGGACUGUACAGAAGUGAGAAUGCUGGCAUAAGUAGCGAGAAAUAAGUGAGAAUCUUAUUGGCCGAAAACCUAAGGUUUCCUGAGGAAGGUUCGUCCGCUCAGGGUUAGUCGGGACCUAAGCCGAGGCCGAAAGGCGUAGGUGAUGGACAAUCGGUUGAUAUUCCGAUACCACCUAUUUACGUUUGAGAAAUGGGGUGACGCAGUAGGAUAAGAUGUGCGCACUAUUGGAUGUGCGUCUAAGCACUUAGGCAUGCUUGAUAGGCAAAUCCGUCGAGCUAAGCUGAGGUGUGAUGGGGAGCCAUUUAUGGCGAAGUAUCUGAUUCCACACUGCCAAGAAAAGCCUCUAUCGAGUGAAUAGGUGCCCGUACCGCAAACCGACACAGGUAGGUGAGGAGAGAAUCCUAAGGCCAUCGGAAGAAUUGCUGUUAAGGAACUCGGCAAAUUGACCCCGUAACUUCGGGAGAAGGGGUGCCUACGAAAGUAGGCCGCAGAGAAUAGGCCCAAGCAACUGUUUAGCAAAAACACAGGUCUCUGCUAAAGCGAAAGCUGAUGUAUAGGGGCUGACGCCUGCCCGGUGCUGGAAGGUUAAGGGGAACACUUAGCGUAAGCGAAGGUGUGAACUUAAGCCCCAGUAAACGGCGGCCGUAACUAUAACGGUCCUAAGGUAGCGAAAUUCCUUGUCGGGUAAGUUCCGACCCGCACGAAUGGCGUAAUGAUUUGGGCACUGUCUCAACAGCAAAUCCGGCGAAAUUGUAGUGCAAGUGAAGAUGCUUGCUACCCGCGAUUGGACGGAAAGACCCCGUAGAGCUUUACUGUAGCUUAGCAUUGAAUCUCGGUAUUGUCUGUACAGGAUAGGUGGGAGACUUGGAAACUUGGGCGUCAGCCUGAGUGGAGUCAUCCUUGGGAUACCACCCUGACAGUACUGGGGUUCUAACCGGCGGCCAUGAAUCUGGUCACGGGACAUUGUUAGGUGGGCAGUUUGACUGGGGCGGUCGCCUCCUAAAAAGUAACGGAGGCGCCCAAAAGUUCCCUCAGCGCGGUCGGAAAUCGCGCGAAGAGUGCAAAGGCAGAAGGGAGCUUGACUGCGACACAUACAGGUGGAGCAGGGACGAAAGUCGGC
rnacentral:rRNA from 1 species